AUGAUGGACCCUUCGGGGUUGUUGCCUGCCUCAUCAAGCCAGCUGCCAGAUGAUCUGCUCAUCGAGAUAUUUCUCUGCCUCCCAGCACACCCCACCUGCCUGAUUCGCACGUCCCUAGUCUGCAAGCGAUGGCACUGCCUCAUCAAAAACCGCCAAUUCGUCAGCCGCUUUCGCAUGCUUCAUCAGAAACUCCCUGUGCUUUGCUUCUUCAGCAACUCCACUAGCAUCCCCCGUUUUAUCCCCACAGGGGACCCUCCUAAUUGUGUCUCAACGGCAGCCUUCUCCCUACCUGACCCCUGCUGGCAGGUCCUUGGCUGCCGCCACAGCCUUGUCCUCCUCGUUAGCUCAACUUGGACUCAGCUCCAGGUAUGGAACCCCAUGACUGGCAACAGGCAAUAUGUACCGGCUACUCCGGAUGCUGAUCGGCGUUUUAAUCAUGGCAUUGUUCCUGAGAGCCAAGCUACAGUGCUUUGUGCAGCUGGCCACAAGGACAGUGGUGACUGCCACUCUUGCCCUUUUCUCGUAGUGUGGGUAUUCACUUGCACACGCUAUGCCUAUGCCUGUAGAUACUCGUCAGAGAGUAGCAGCUGGCACCAGAUGGUUUCUUCACCAACACCAUCUGAUAUUGAUUCAAGGCCUAGUGUCCUUGUUGGGAACAUCUUGUACUGGCCGCUGAAGUCAAAAUAUAUCCUUGCCUUUGAGUUGGAUACGCGUAAAUUAUACCAUAUUGAGUGUCCAGAAGAUACACAUAGUGUGUACAGAAGGAAUGUCCACAUCAUGAAGGCAGAGGACGGUGGGCUAGGCCUUGCUGCCUUGACGGAGUUCAACCUUCGCCUAUGGGCUUGGGAGACAGGUCCGGAGGGUGUUAUGGAAUGGGUGCUGCGCAGGACCAUUCAGUUGGAUGCAUUCCUUCCACCGAAUGUGUCAUCAGUGCCGUUGGUAAAUAAUCAUUCUGCCAGUGGGCGUCCGGUCAGGAUAUUGGGUCUCAUUGAGGACGAUGAUAUGUUUUUUAUGUGGACGAGAGAGGGUGUCUUUGCAGUGGAGCUCAAGUCAAUGUGGUGCAACAAAGUUUUUGAGGCUCAAGUCCCUGCAACUAUCUUCCCCUACACUGGCUUUUAUACCACAGGUGAUGUGGACGGUGCACGGUGA
rnacentral:rRNA from 1 species